AAUUGCUUCCUUGGAAGAUUUCUAAUUUUAAGUAUUUUCUUUUUACAGUCACACUAAAAGAAGUAUUAAGAAUUGCCCUUUGAGACUCUGAAGACUGAAGAGUACCUGAUAAAUUGCACGUCCAUCUGUGCCCCAUAGCUGCACAGACUGCCUGAAGUUACAUUUAGAGACUGAAAUCACUGCACCUUAAAAACAAAAGAUUGAGCUGCACUGCAUUCCUAAUGUUUCACCAUCACUAACUGGAUAUUCCUCACAACUUUGCUGUCCGGUAAGUAACUUUCAUUAUCCCUAAAUGGCAGCCUAGAUAU
rnacentral:lncRNA from 1 species